UGAGCAAUCUGCCCUUCUCAUCGGAAUAAGCGUUGGAAACGACGUCUAAUGCCGAAUACGACCUCCUUUCGCAUGAUCGGAGGUGGAAAGCUCCGGCGGAGAAGAAUGAGCUCGCGGCCUAUCAGCUAGUUGGUGGGUAAUGGCUCACCAAGGCGACGACGGGUAGCUGGUCUGAGAGGAUGGCCAGCCACAUUAGGACUGAGACACGGCCCAGAUCCGUACGGG
rnacentral:rRNA from 1 species